rnacentral:rRNA from 1 species
UAGAAAUAUAAUGGAGGUUAUUGUGGUGACAGAUGGUGCAUGGUUGUCGUCAGCUCGUGUCAUGAGAUGUUUGGUUAAGUCCCACAACGAGCGCAACCCCACUCUUUAGUUAAUUGUCUAAAGUGACAGAAGUGUAAGCUAUAGGAAGGAUGGGAUCACGUCAAAUCAUCAUGCCUCUUACAUCUUGGGCUGCAAACGUGCUACAAUGGCAGAAACAAUGUGUUGCAAUUUAGCGAUAAUGAGCAAAUCACCAAAUUCUGUCUCAGUUCGGAUAAAAGGCUGCAAUUCGCCUUUUUGA